CAGAUAGUAGCUUAUUUAAAGCUUAUUAUUUACACUAAUAUGAAAAUUAUAUUAAUUCUUUCU
rnacentral:tRNA from 1 species